rnacentral:rRNA from 1 species
UGCGUAGGCGGACUUAUAAGUCAGCGGUGAAAGUUUGCAGCUUAACUGUAAAAUUGCCGUUGAAACUGUUAGUCUUGAGUGUAAAUGAGGUAGGCGGAAUGUGUUGUGUAGCGGUGAAAUGCUUAGAUAUAACACAGAACACCAAUUGCGAAGGCAGCUUACUGGGAUACAACUGACGCUGAGGGCACGAAAGCGUGGGAGUCAAACCAG